rnacentral:rRNA from 1 species
UACGAAGGGGGCUAGCGUUGCUCGGAAUCACUGGGCGUAAAGGGUGCGUAGGCGGGUCUUUAAGUCAGGGGUGAAAUCCUGGAGCUCAACUCCAGAACUGCCUUUGAUACUGAGGAUCUUGAGUUCGGGAGAGGUGAGUGGAACUGCGAGUGUAGAGGUGAAAUUCGUAGAUAUUCGCAAGAACACCAGUGGCGAAGGCGGCUCACUGGCCCGAUACUGACGCUCAGGCGCGACAGCGUGGGGAGCAAACAGG